AGAAGAUAGACGUAAGUCUUCAGCAGAUCGUAAGGGCCUAGACGGGACAUACUUGUGUAAAAGGGAGGAUAGAUAGAUGGGGGCAGCAUUAUGUAGAGAUUUGAAAGCAAGAACCAGAAUUUUAAAUUGAGCUCUAUAUUUUAUAGGAAGCCAAUGUAGGGACUGACAGGAGGGUAAGGCAUGGGAGGUGCGGGAGGACAGGAAGAUGAGCCUCGCUGCCGCAUUCAUUAUGGACUGUAACGACACUAGUUGGGAGCACGUAAGACCACUGAGAAGCGGAUUACAGUAUUCAAGGCGAGAAAGGACAGUGGAAUCGACCAACACCUUAGUCGCAUCUGGCGUUGAGUAGGGGCGGAUGCGCGCAAUUGUUUUUGAGAUGGAAAUGACAGGAUUUGGCGAUAGAUUGAACAUGAGGCUUGAAGGAAAGGGUUGGAGUCAAAGAGAACACCUAGGCAGCAAUAAGAUGGGAUAGGAUGAUAGGUGAUAGGAUGAUAAGGGAUGAUAGAAUGAUAAGAGGUGAUAGGAUGAUAAGGGAUGAUAGAAUGAUAAGAGGUGAUAGGACAAAAAGAGGGUAUAGGAUAAGAAGCGGUAAUAGGAUGAUAAGAGGUGAUCUGACAAUAAGAGGGGGUAGGACAAUAAGAGGGGGUAGGACAAUAAGAGGUCAAGGACGAUAAGAGUUCAUAGGAAGAUAAGAGUUCAUAGGUUGAUAAGGGGUGAUAGGAUGAUAGGUGAUACAAUGAUAAGGGGUAAUAGGAUGACAAGGGGUGAUAGUAUGAUAGGUAUAUGGUGAUAAGGAGUGAUAGGAUGAUAAGAGGUGAUAGGACGAUAAGAGGUAAUAGGAUGAUAAGAGGUGAGAUAGGACAAUAAGACGUGAUAGGACAAUAGGAGGGGGUAGGACAAUAAGAGGUCACAGGACGAUAAGAGUUCAUAGAUUGAUAAGGGGUGAUAGGAUGAUAGGUGAUAUGGUGAAAAGGAGUGAUAGGAUGAUAAAGGUUGAUAGGAUGAUAGGUGAUAAGGGUUCAUAGCACAAUAAAAGGGAAUAGGAUGAUAAGGAGUGAUAGGAUGAUAAGGAGUGAUAGGAUAAUAAGGAGUGAUAGGAUGAUAAGGGGUGAUAGGAUGAUAGGUGAUAUGGUGAUAAGGAGUAAUAGGAUGAUAAGAGGUGAUAGGAUGAUAAGGGGUAACAGGAUGAUAGGUGAUAUGGUGAUAAGGAGUGAUAGAAUGAUAAGAGGUGAUGGGAUGAUAAGAGGUAAUACGAUUAUAUGUGAUAGCACAAUAAGAGAUGAUUGGACAAUAAGAUGGAUAAGAGGGGACAUGGCAGUUGUGGGUAAUCGGAAAAAAGGAAGUGAUAGGAUGAAAAGGGGUGAUAAAAUGAUAAGAGGAGAUAAGACAAUAAGAGGUGUUGGGGUGAUAGGAUGAUAUGGAUAACUGUUGAGAAGUGAUAGAGUGACAAGUGGUGUUAGUAUAGUAAUGGGGAUAGAACAAUAUAGUUUGAUAGUUUGAUAAGUGGUGAUAGUAUGAUCAUGGGUGACAAGUGAUGAUAAGAAGAUAAUAGUUGAUAGGGCAACAAGCGAUGUUAGGAUGAUUAUGGUUGACAGGAUGACAAGCGAAGUUAGGACGAUAAUGGCAGGUAUCAUUAUAAGGGGAGACAGGAUGAUAGUUGGUGAUAGGACAAUAGUUUGUGCUUGUUAUAUAAUUUAGUGAUCAUAUAAUGUACUUUUUUUUUUUUAAAUUAAUGUUCAGUGUCUUUCUUGGAAACAAUCCCAGUCUUCAAUUUGCUAUUAGAUAAAUAUGGUGUG